rnacentral:rRNA from 1 species
GAUGAACGCUGGCGGCGUGCUUAACACAUGCAAGUCGAACGAGAGAAGAUCGGUGCUUGCACUGAUCCGAUCGAGUGGCGGACGGGUGAGUAACGCGUGGGUAACCUGCCUCAUACAGGGGAAUAACAGUUGGAAACGGCUGCUAAAACCGCAUAAGCGCACGGUAUCGCAUGAUACAGUGUGAAAAACUCCGGUGGUAUGAGAUGGACCCGCGUCUGAUUAGCUAGUUGGUGAGGUAACGGCCCACCAAGGCGACGAUCAGUAGCCGGCCUGAGAGGGUGAACGGCCACAUUGGGACUGAGACACGGCCCAAACUCCUACGGGAGGCAGCAGUGGGGAAUAUUGCACAAUGGGGGAAACCCUGAUGCAGCGACGCCGCGUGAGUGAUGAAGUAUUUCGGUAUGUAAAGCUCUAUCAGCAGGGAAGAUAAUGACG